GUAUACACAGUACAGCAAUACCCACAGACUGUAAUUUAUUAUUACUGCAUUUGUGUAUUUUAAUGUAUAACAAGAAUAACUAAUAACUAAUAAAUUAAUUUUAAAUAAAGAGAAGAAGAAACAUCAAAAGCUUCAUAAAAUUUAAGGUGAUGAUGUUUCUGUUAUCUAAACCUGAAACUAGGCAGAUCCCUCUGAACCCAUCAUUGUGUUUCCUUCAACAGUGAACUGCAUUAGCUUACAUCCAGUGUGACUUCUUCAGGCCAGAGAUUGGACAAACUUUUAUACUGUGACUAUUUAGAGAUCUACAACCUGAAUUACUGCAGCUCUGUCAUCAUGUUGAGACAGAAAAAGGGCAAAAAAUCUGAAGCAUCUUAAACUGCAGAAAAAAGAAAAAACUAUAGUGAUGAAAUUUGUAGAUUUUAUUUUGUGGGACUUUGAAUCACAUGAAAAAAUCUUUUAAAAUGUAGGAUUUUUUUUAAUUUUAGCUUCAUAAUGGAUCAGGUGUAUAUUUCCUUCCGUUUUUUUUAUAGCUCCAGACAUAGCAGAUAAACCAAGUAAACCCAGGGCCACACUCACAGCAAGAACAACAACCAUACCAGUAGGGGGCAGUGUGACACUGACCUGCUCUGUGCAGAGCUCUGAUGGAUGGAAAUAUGAGUGGUUCAGACGAACCCAAAGAUCCUCUGAAGUUCAAAUCAGAAAUCGACAAAACAGAGAUAUCAGAGUAUCUCAAGGAGGAAUCUACAGCUGCAGAGGAACAAGAGGAAACCCAGUUUACUACACUUAUGAAAGCAAUGAUAUCACCAUUUGGAUAACCUUUUCCAAUAAAGUUGUUGUAAAACAACAACCCAACUAGCCUCAGAUAUUCAGAGGUGAGACGAUCACUCUGACAUGUGAGGUGCAGGAAGGAGGUGAAACCACUGAGUGGGAGUAUGAAUGGAGAGGACCCAGCACACCCACACAGUGGACACACAAUAAUGAUGUGACAUUCAGAGUUUCUGAGUCCAGCAGUGGAGACUACAUGUGUAAGAGUCGACGCAGAGAUGACUCAUAUUCUUCAACAGAGUGGAGUGAAGCCUUCACAUUGUCAGGAUCAAGUAAGUCAUGUUUGUUGUGUGAUCUCCAUUUGACAAAUGUCAUAAUGGUCAGCACAGGAUGAAUUCAAUGGUCUACAAAGCAUGUUCCAUUGUUAGUCAGACAAAGAGCUGCAGCUGAUAGUAGCCUCAUUGUAGACAGUUUGUCACCACUUUGUGUCAUGAACUUUCAGCUGGUAUAGAGACGCCAAUGCUGACCUGCUGCUCCAUCACCUGAGGACAAUAAUGACACAAAUAAACAGGAUAAAAAUGUAGUAUUCUUCAGACUCCCCCAACAAAUAACUCUACAACUUCUUUAAAAAAGAAUAAAAGUCAUUCUGACCCAUCAUCUCAUCAAAUACUGCCGUAUGUUAAAAUUAAUAUGAAAUACACAGACAUGACUGUGUUUAAAACAAAGGUUUUUGAUUUUAUUUCUAUUAAACUCAUUGAUUUGCUUUUUAACCCCGAAGUCAUUUUAUGAAAGCAGAUCAGACUCAUUCCAACUUCUUCCUGAAAAUGCCUCAUUUGUACAAUAUUGUGACUUUGUGUGCAAAUGUGUUGAUGUUCAUUCUUUAAAAAAGUUUCUGUCUGUGAAUCAGCUGUUUUUCACUCACCUCAUUCGAAAACAAACACACAAACAAACAAACACAGAUAAACAGUGCAAGCCCAGACAUCCCAGCUGGCCUCAGAUCAGUUAACAGUGUAUAGUUCACCUGUCUCUGCAUUUAGGAGUACAGUUUGGUGGUGGAGCAUAAAAACAGUCUCACCUGAUUCUUGAUUCACUCUGAUAAAGUUUUCAUCAUGUUAUAUACAUCCAGCGUUAGCUCCUGGCUCUCUAGCUGGCUAACAGUUAGCUGAGAUACCUGUGCUGUCCUCAUGUGCUGCUGCCAGUUGUUGAUUCUCAUCUAAUUUGCUUUGUUUGCUUUGUUUGCAAAAAGUGAGAAGAUCACACGGAAAUCAGGGACUGACCUGAGAAACCUAAGAUCUAUUAUUGAGCUCCAUCCACCUCCAUCCACCGCCCUGGGGCGCCUCUGUCAGUGCGCCCCAGGGCAGCUGUGGCUACAAUGUAGCUUGCCAUUGCCAGUGUGUGAAUGUGUGCGUGAAUGGGUGAAUGACUGAAUGUAGUGUAAAGCGCUUUGGGGUCCUUAGGGACUGAGUAAAGCGCUAUACAAAUGCAGGCCAUUUACCAUUUACCAUAUAUGUAUUAUAUGUGAGCUAAUUAGCACUUACUGAAUUCGAAAUAUAGGAAAUUGCAUAUUGAUAGAAUUUUUCUUUAUUUUUUUCUCCAAAAUCUUCAUUUGUUAUAUAACAAA
ensembl:lncRNA